rnacentral:rRNA from 2 species
ACUUAAAUUGAAGAGUUUGAUCAUGGCUCAGAUUGAACGCUGGCGGCAGGCCUAACACAUGCAAGUCGAGCGGUAGCACAGAGAGCUUGCUCUCGGGUGACGAGCGGCGGACGGGUGAGUAAUGUCUGGGAAACUGCCUGAUGGAGGGGGAUAACUACUGGAAACGGUAGCUAAUACCGCAUAACGUCGCAAGACCAAAGUGGGGGACCUUCGGGCCUCAUGCCAUCAGAUGUGCCCAGAUGGGAUUAGCUAGUAGGUGGGGUAACGGCUCACCUAGGCGACGAUCCCUAGCUGGUCUGAGAGGAUGACCAGCCACACUGGAACUGAGACACGGUCCAGACUCCUACGGGAGGCAGCAGUGGGGAAUAUUGCACAAUGGGCGCAAGCCUGAUGCAGCCAUGCCGCGUGUGUGAAGAAGGCCUUCGGGUUGUAAAGCACUUUCAGCGGGGAGGAAGGCGUUAAGGUUAAUAACCUCAUCGAUUGACGUUACCCGCAGAAGAAGCACCGGCUAACUCCGUGCCAGCAGCCGCGGUAAUACGGAGGGUGCAAGCGUUAAUCGGAAUUACUGGGCGUAAAGCGCACGCAGGCGGUCUGUCAAGUCGGAUGUGAAAUCCCCGGGCUCAACCUGGGAACUGCAUUCGAAACUGGCAGGCUAGAGUCUUGUAGAGGGGGGUAGAAUUCCAGGUGUAGCGGUGAAAUGCGUAGAGAUCUGGAGGAAUACCGGUGGCGAAGGCGGCCCCCUGGACAAAGACUGACGCUCAGGUGCGAAAGCGUGGGGAGCAAACAGGAUUAGAUACCCUGGUAGUCCACGCCGUAAACGAUGUCGAUUUGGAGGUUGUGCCCUUGAGGCGUGGCUUCCGGAGCUAACGCGUUAAAUCGACCGCCUGGGGAGUACGGCCGCAAGGUUAAAACUCAAAUGAAUUGACGGGGGCCCGCACAAGCGGUGGAGCAUGUGGUUUAAUUCGAUGCAACGCGAAGAACCUUACCUGGUCUUGACAUCCACAGAACUUUCCAGAGAUGGAUUGGUGCCUUCGGGAACUGUGAGACAGGUGCUGCAUGGCUGUCGUCAGCUCGUGUUGUGAAAUGUUGGGUUAAGUCCCGCAACGAGCGCAACCCUUAUCCUUUGUUGCCAGCGGUUAGGCCGGGAACUCAAAGGAGACUGCCAGUGAUAAACUGGAGGAAGGUGGGGAUGACGUCAAGUCAUCAUGGCCCUUACGACCAGGGCUACACACGUGCUACAAUGGCAUAUACAAAGAGAAGCGACCUCGCGAGAGCAAGCGGACCUCAUAAAGUAUGUCGUAGUCCGGAUUGGAGUCUGCAACUCGACUCCAUGAAGUCGGAAUCGCUAGUAAUCGUAGAUCAGAAUGCUACGGUGAAUACGUUCCCGGGCCUUGUACACACCGCCCGUCACACCAUGGGAGUGGGUUGCAAAAGAAGUAGGUAGCUUAACCUUCGGGAGGGCGCUUACCACUUUGUGAUUCAUGACUGGGGUGAAGUCGUAACAAGGUAACCGUAGGGGAACCUGCGGUUGGAUCACCUCCUUACCUUAAAGAA